rnacentral:rRNA from 1 species
UACGGAGGGUGCAAACGUUGCUCGGAAUCAUUGGGCGUAAAGCGCACGUAGGCGGACUGUUAAGUCGGAUGUGAAAUCCCUCAGCUUAACUGAGGAAGUGCACUCGAAACUGGCAGUCUUGAGUAUGGAAGAGGGUCGCGGAAUUCCCGGUGUAGAGGUGAAAUGCGUAGAUAUCGGGAGGAACACCAGUGGCGAAGGCGACUACCUGGCCUGUUCUUGACGCUGAGGCGCGAAAGCUAGGGGAGCAAACGGG